UGUUAUCACAUGGAAGCAACUACACCUGCAACUAGCAACGCUAACACGUGGUUAAGCAAGCGGUAACAUAGCCAAUCGGUGGUUUGCUAGGUUGUGAACAAGUUGAAGGUUUCAUGGCAAUGUUGAGAGGCUGACAUUUAACAGGUGGUAGGCAACGAGACAUAGCGAUAGAAACGAUACAACUAGCAUGGCAUUGAUAGUAAUGGUAUCUAGGGAAAGGAUCAUCUUGCCUGAGAUCCUGCUUGGAAGAAGAAUAACUCCGUGAAGCAGACGAACCGACGUAGUCGAACGGGUCCUCACAUUCCGACAUGUUUGCGGAACUCUAUCGGAACGGAGCAAACCGGAAACAAGCAUCAACACACGGUAUUCACCACGACACAUACACGACAU
rnacentral:lncRNA from 1 species